CACAGCCUCUCUGGGCAGCUGUUCCAGCACCUCACCACUCUCAUAGAGUAGUGACAUCCAACCUCAGUCUUCCCUCCUUAAUCUUCCCCUUAAUGACUUUGUGACUUAAAUGUUAAUUCUCUUACUUUUCUUAUAAUAAAUGCUUUUCUUUAGAAUUUUUAGACCAACAGAUACUAAAAAAUGCAUUUGAUAAUGGCUAAGGAGUCCAUUAUAUAUUUGGUUUCCCAUUUUACUGCUGACACAAUAGAUGUAAGUUGUCUAAUUACACUGAAGUUUCCCAAAGUAUAUGAUGGCUCAGUCUGUAGAGUAUGCAAACAGUAUGUUAGCAAUUUUCAUUUGUUUCUUACGAGUUUCUGAAGAUCACUUUUGAAUAGGUUUUCUUUGGUAUGCAGACUUGAGAGAGGGAAAGAGAACAGAAGGGAGCACAGAAUUGUGAAGUGGAGUGUGAUGAUGGUGAUCAAAUCUCCACAUGGAGAUGGACCUAAUCUGCAAUCUCCAUAACUUAGUUAAGGAAAUCCAGGGGGCUCUUCCAUCUGCAAAGGAAACAGCCACUGCUGCCGGUGGUUUCAUAGCUUAAAGGUUGAACUCGAGUGAAAAUGUUUGGAUUACGGAGGGAGAGAAAGGAAGACAAAUGCUGUGUAUAACCUCAUGGAAGGAAGACUUUAUGUUGUUCUCUUUCUGAUGAACAGAGGGUUUUGUAGUUUACCAACUGUACUGUUAGCUACAGAUGACUGUCAUGGGGCUGCUUUGGUUUUGUGAGGCAGAAAUUGGGUUAGAUGAAUUUGAUCAAAUUUAGAGACUUAAAACACCUGCAAUUAAUAGUGUAAAAAAGGUUUGUACAGAAGCAAACUAAAAAGAAAAGGAAAAAUAUGUAAGUGAAUCAAAUAGUGAUUAGCUUAUGGAAGAGGUAAUAAAACAUCCAUGAGUAUAAAUAUGUCUGUAUUCUUAGUUAGAAUAAUGCUUAUUCUCAGAAAAUCAGAUAAGCAUUAUUGCCAACACUGCACUUAAACAUAGAUGAGGUUCUAUAUUAAUUCAGUCAUUAAAAUUUUGAAUUUCUUAUGUAAAGAUUGCUUGGAUAAUUGUCUUUGAUGGUAAGAGAUCUUGUAGAGCUUCAUGCCCUGGAUUCCAGCAGUGAGCUGACAUCUCUUGGAAGAAUCCUACCAGCCUUCCCAUUGAACCACUUGGCAAGAUGAUGACAACAGGAUGUAAUUUUAAAGACCUGUUGCUUUUAACUGUGAUGGCUGCGGGGUCAUUUUCACCCAAAGAAGAUGGUGGAAAGACCUAGAGAUGGUUGGAAGAAGAUAGACAAAGUAUGCAGCAAGUGAAAAAGCAGAGAAACACCACACUUGUGAACACCAAGAAUUUAGCAUGGCUUAAGAACGGUUUAGGUAGAAAAGGUGCAGCUGAAGGGUAUGUAUUCAAUCUGUCUGCCCAGAAAGUGAGAUUCUAUUUGGACAUAGUGAUUUAAUGAGGGUGAUUUUCAUUCAGGGAUGAGAAAUAAACAGGAUAAUCUGAGAUGAACACACAGGCAACGAAGUGUGCCUUAAAGAGCUUCUACUUUUACAGCUAUGUUGAAAAAUGUUUUAUGUUUUAAAGCUAUGGUGAAAUUACAGUGCUGCCUCAUUCUCAUUAUUGUCUACCAGACAAAAACAGACAAGCUGUGAUGGCUGAGAUGCAAUACAGGGAGGUUUUGGAGGCUGAGGCUAGGCCAGAAGGAUUGAAAAUAUGUUGAUUGAUUGUCCUUAGAGAGUAACCUCCCUGGUUUACUGUUCUUCACUUGCUGCAUCCCCAAAAUGUCCUCUCUAAGUGCUGUGUUUCCUGGCUCCUUGGUAUUAGCCUUAGGGAAUCUGUGUGUUGUAAACAUUGUGCUGUGUGUCUUAUGAUUUUUUGCAUUUGUGCCACAGCAGAGAUGUGCAGUAAUGUUUUAUUCAAUUACUCAGUUUUCUAAAAGUGCCAUUUUAAAACUGUUUCUUAAAGAUGACCAGGUUCUGAAUUUGCUGCAGCUCCCUGCAGCCCGAGGAGCCUGCUUAUUUAACUGACAUGGCUGGCUGAAUUCAGCAGAUGCUUGUCUCUCUUAAAAAAAAACAAACCAAACCAAACAAACAAACAAACCAUUCCUUUAAUAUUAUUUCUCUCUUUACACUGCUAGAAUCAUUAUUGCGUUUAUCCUUAACCUUUUUUUUUUUCCUUUGGGCAAGAUGACAUGAAACCAAGCCACCAGAGAAUCUGGGGAAGUUCAUAACAAACGAAGUAAUGAAAACAUUCUGACCUCCCCCAAACGAUCUGUCUCCAAAACAAAUGACAGGAAACACACUGUGGUACAGCACAUUCUGGGCAAACCUCUCGCUUCUUGUUUUUGAAGAGCUUGGGAGAGAAAAAUACUUCUUUGUAGUAGUAUUUUUCAGCUUUUUGCUACCCAUGAAUUAAUUGGAAACUGAAUGUAGAGCUGAAAUGCUCUGAGUGCAGAGGUUAUUUAAGAGUAGAUGCCCAUCUGCCAGCUGAUUGAAUCAGAAAACGCAUUGAUCCGGGAUCCUAAACAACUGCUGUGCUGUCCUACAUGACCUGUGGAUGCUAGCCAGCCUUCUGCUCUCUGUCAACAGAAUGUUUGAUGACUCAACCAUUUAACAGCACUGGACCAGAUAAUCAUCUGGAUGUUGUAAUAUCCUUGCUUGCUUUUGAGGUCUACCCCAAUGUCUGCUAUCACAAGGAGAAAAGGAGAAUUCGUACUGCUGAGGGGCAUUACGUGCUCAGCCACACAUCACCUGUCAGCAGACAGGACAGGAAGUGUCAGCCGCCUUUCUUCAUGGUUGGACAAUCUUGGUUUGAUGCUUGGGAUUUCCACAGGUGUAAUUCAGAACUGUGGUGAGGCUUCACUUCUGUCCCAGCUUAGCCAGAACUUCAGUUUGCUUCUGUCGUCUGUGUAAAGUGAGCCUUCUAAAUAGGCCACAAGACUUUUGAACUCAAAAUACUGUGCUUUGUUAAAUCCAAGUACACAUGGAAUCUAAAAGCGAUUAAGGUGUUGGCUUAAGAGUGAGUAGGAUCAAACUGAGAGUGCCCCGCACUGGCUGCCUGUGUGUGCUGUGACGGAGAUGUUCACUGUGGGAGCAGCUAAAAACCUGGAGAUCACUUGGCAGCUGGACCCAGCAGAUGAGCAAAUGUGGCAUGUGAUCUAUCAGAUCCCCAGGCCGCCAGCAGCGGGCAUCAACCUCAUGGCUACCAAUGGAAGUGCCACGUACAGUGCUGAUGUUGACACUUUUGAGAAACAGGAAAAAUCACAACAAGAGACUUCGAGGGGAGAGGGCCCACUUACUGUAGAGGCCAUUGUUGACUGAUUUUGUGCUGAAUUAAGCCUUGACUAAGGAUCACUGGUGAGGACUGCAUUAGAGCUGCAGUUCAUAAAGAUGGAUGUAAAUUAUAACAGACUGCAAUGGUAAGAUCUAAUCAUAAGGUCUCCAUUAACCUGGAUGUAAGAUGAUAGCCAUGUAUUCUCCUAGGAAAAUGAUCUUGUGGCCUCGCUCAAGUUACCAAGUUGCUGAGGUGGAGAACCCACAGGAAAAUCUCUCAUCUAUAUGGAAAAAAACGAGCACCACUUCAUAGAUCUGAGCAUACAAAAAAAAGAAAAAUAAAAAAUAAAUUAAAUUUUCAUAUUUCAGCACAAUUUAAAAAUUGCCUGCACCAUCGUUUUCCUUAGCUGUUUGCAAAGGCUACUGACUCUUUUCAGAUUCCAGGACUGCAUUUUGGAAGAAGAAUUCCAAGAUUUCCUCCCACUCUUCUAUCUGAAAAACAACGACAACAAAAAAACAUUCAUAAAGGCUAUGCUGGAACAUAGAUGAAGAAUUGCAGUUUUUCCCAAGAACAACUGAGCUCCUGACCCAUAGUCAGUGGCUGCUGUGUAAUUACCCAUCAUUCCUCUUUCCUUUUCCUAAAGGAAUUGAUUACUCAGUGUAGACAACUUUUGUGUUUUUGUUUUGUUUUGGCAGUGGGGUAAGGAGAGUAAGAGUUGUCCCAACUGCGUCAGCACUCUUUCCAAUGACAGAAAUUGAAAGAAACACACUGCAAGAAGGAAAUUCUCAGCCAUCAUGAGCUUAAAGAAUAACUACAUGUUUGGUCAUGUAGCUCCAUGCCAACCAAUGCUGUGAGGGUAAUUGUUGCCCCCAAAUUCACAGCUAGAGAUGGAGAACAAAAAGCUGAAAGUCCAGUACUGCCUAUGUAAAAAGAAUACACAGCAGUACCUAGGAGUUUAAGGAGGCUUCAACAGAAGAGUAAAAGAUAGCAAUAAUGGAAAUGCUAAGUCGUGGCAUGAAGCAGUAAUUGAGUACCUGGUGGGAAGGCAGGGCCAACUCAAGGGAGCUCAGGUGUAUGCAAUGAACCUGAAUGACCAGAAGGGAUGGAGCCAGGAUCCACCCCUUUUCUGACCUCAUUUAAGGGUAGGCAGUGGAGGUGGGGGCAUCUUGCUGGAGAUUGCUAUCUAA